rnacentral:rRNA from 1 species
AUACGGAGGAUCCGAGCGUUAUCCGGAUUUAUUGGGUUUAAAGGGAGCGUAGGCGGGAGAUCAAGUCAGCUGUGAAAUGUAGAUGCUCCACAUCUGCACUGCAGUUGAAACUGGUUUUCUUGAGUGCGUAAGGGGCAGGCGGAAUUCGUCGUGUAGCGGUGAAAUGCUUAGAUAUGACGAAGAACUCCGAUCGCGAAGGCAGCCUGCCGGGCCGCGACUGACGCUGAAGUUCGAAGGUGCGGGUAUCGAACAGGAUUAGAUACCCUGGUUGUCCGCACAGUAAACGAUGGAUACUCGCUGUCGGCGAUAUACGGUCGGUGGCCAAGCGAAAGCGUUAAGUAUCCCACCUGGGGAGUACGCCGGCAACGGUGAAACUCAAAUGAAUUGACGGGG